rnacentral:rRNA from 1 species
AUUGAACGCUGGCGGCAGGCCUAACACAUGCAAGUCGAGCGGCAGCGGGAAAGUAGCUUGCUACUUUUGCCGGCGAGCGGCGGACGGGUGAGUAAUGCCUGGGAAAUUACCCAGUCGAGGGGGAUAACAGUUGGAAACGACUGCUAAUACCGCAUACGCCCUACGGGGGAAAGCAGGGGACCUUCGGGCCUUGCGCGAUUGGAUAUGCCCAGGUGGGAUUAGCUAGUUGGUGAGGUAAUGGCUCACCAAGGCGACGAUCCCUAGCUGGUCUGGGAGGAUGAUCAGCCAAACUGGAACUGAGACACGGUCCAGACUCCUACGGGAGGCAGCAGUGGGGAAUAUUGCACAAUGGGGGAAACCCUGAUGCAGCCAUGCCGCGUGUGUGAAGAAGGCCUUCGGGUUGUAAAGCACUUUCAGCGAGGAGGAAAGGUUGAUGCCUAAUACGUAUCAACUGUGACGUUACUCGCAGAAGAAGCACCGGCUAACUCCGUGCCAGCCGCCGCGGUAACAC